CUUAUUUAUUCUCUUACUUUCCUUCCUUUUUCUAUUUAGUUAUUUCUUUAAUUAUUUUACUACUUUAUUACCAAAUGUCAUAGCAUAGUUUCUUCACAAAUCACUCAAAAAUCAAAAAUUAUAUCUCUUCCCGUAAAGAAGGAAUUUUAGUGGAAGAUUUGGGUACGAAUUUCAUUAAAAAAUCUGUUCAAGUUCAUAGGAGUCCCCAAAUAGGCUAUGAUGUUACAGGAUGGCCUAAUUCGAGCAUUGAGCGAGGAUUUGGAGUCGCCUGGGAAAGGGAAGGUUUAAGAAUUAUUGUGUUGGAAUUUACUUUGUGCCUGAAGCUCAUUAGUUUAGCUUGUGUUGUAAUGUUGGCCUUAUAGUGCUACAAAUAAUCUGUAAUUGUGUAAAAGGGAUGAUUGGGGCUGGAACUUGUUUGUCACUUGUUGCUGCUAUAUGCUAUUUGCUAUUGUGGUUUGUUUCU